rnacentral:rRNA from 1 species
GAAGACCAAGGGUUCCUGUCCAACGUUAAUCGGGGCAGGGUGAGUCGACCCCUAAGGCGAGGCCGAAAGGCGUAGUCGAUGGGAAACAGGUUAAUAUUCCUGUACUUGGUGUUACUGCGAAGGGGGGACGGAGAAGGCUAUGUUGGCCGGGCGACGGUUGUCCCGGUUUAAGCGUGUAGGCUGGUUUUCCAGGCAAAUCCGGAAAAUCAAGGCUGAGGCGUGAUGACGAGGCACUACGGUGCUGAAGCAACAAAUGCCCUGCUUCCAGGAAAAGCCUCUAAGCAUCAGGUAACAUCAAAUCGUACCCCAAACCGACACAGGUGGUCAGGUAGAGAAUACCAAGGCGCUUGAGAGAACUCGGGUGAAGGAACUAGGCAAAAUGGUGCCGUAACUUCGGGAGAAGGCACGCUGAU